rnacentral:lncRNA from 1 species
CCUGAGGCCUGCUGGACCAUGGAGGCCCACUCUGACCCUUUUUUUAAAUUUAGACACAGGGUCUCGUGGGUUGCUGAGGGCCUCACUAAAUUGUUGAGGCUGGCCUCCAACUCAUGAUCCCAAGUCUCAGCCUCCCGAGUCAUUGGGGCAUGUGAACAAGGGGACACUCCCAGCAGGAGGAAGGCCAGGCUGCAGGCCAGCACAUCUCUGGGGAUGAGCCUGAGCAGAAACAAGACCAUGAAUGAGCAGUUUGUAAAAGUUGCCUUUAUUUAUCAUUUAUCCAUCGUAUCUCAGUUAUGCCAUUUUGGUGUCCACAGUGACAGUCCCCUGGAAGCUGGGUCAGCCCCUGCCCAUCCACCCACUGUGAUCACUGCCCACGGGCUGGAAGCCCAGGCCACAUGGGGCCAGCAGGACCACAAGCUCCUCUGAAGUCUGGCUCUCUCCAGGCACAGCCUGGGAGCCAGGGACUGGGCCUGUCUGCCAGAGGCCAUGGAGUCCCCUGCAGUGGCUUGGGAGGCCCUGCCCUCUAACAGGAGCAGGAGAGGUAUAGCAGAGGCCCCCAUGGGCUGGGAGGCAGCUGGUGGUGAGGCUGCCCUGCUGGGGACUGGGUCUAGACAAGGCCACAUGGGAGAAGGUGCU